GAGCCGGCCGAGUACGUCCAUGUGACGCCGGAAUACGUUCUGGACAACGGCACCAACAGAGAGUACAAUUGGGGAGAUCCGGGGCGCGUGAUCGUCCAUGAGUUUGCCCAUCUUCGCUAUGGCGUAUUUGACGAGUACGGUCUGGUAGAGGACGAAAACUACCCGCUGUUCUACGUGGGGGCCAACGGGAGGCCCACUGUCACCGGGUGUUCGUCGAGGGUUCGCGGCACUUACAAGGUCUACGACGGGAAGACGGCUAGACGAUGCAUGUUAAGUCGUCUUACUGGGCUCCC